UACGGAGGGAGCUAGCGUUGUUCGGAAUUACUGGGCGUAAAGCGCGCGUAGGCGGCUUUGUAAGUUAGAGGUGAAAGCCCGGGGCUCAACCCCGGAACUGCCUUUAAGACUGCAUCGCUUGAAUCCGGGAGAGGUGAGUGGAAUUCCGAGUGUAGAGGUGAAAUUCGUAGAUAUUCGCAAGAACACCAGUGGCGAAGGCGGCUCACUGGCCCAUAACUGACGCUGAGGCACGAAAGCGUGGGGAGCAAACAGG
rnacentral:rRNA from 1 species